rnacentral:rRNA from 1 species
UACGGAGGGUGCAAGCGUUAUCCGGAUUCACUGGGUUUAAAGGGUGCGUAGGUGGGUCUGUAAGUCAGUGGUGAAAUCUCCGAGCUUAACUUGGAAACUGCCAUUGAUACUAUAGGUCUUGAAUACUGUGGAGGUCAGCGGAAUAUGUCAUGUAGCGGUGAAAUGCUUAGAUAUGACAUAGAACACCAAUUGCGAAGGCAGCUGGCUACACAAAUAUUGACACUGAGGCACGAAAGUGUGGGGAUCAAACAGG